GAUGAACGCUGGCGGCGUGCCUAAUACAUGCAAGUCGAGCGAACAGACGAGGAGCUUGCUCCUCUGACGUUAGCGGCGGACGGGUGAGUAACACGUGGAUAACCUACCUAUAAGACUGGGAUAACUUCGGGAAACCGGAGCUAAUACCGGAUAAUAUAUUGAACCGCAUGGUUCAAUAGUGAAAGACGGUUUUGCUGUCACUUAUAGAUGGAUCCGCGCCGCAUUAGCUAGUUGGUAAGGUAACGGCUUACCAAGGCAACGAUGCGUAGCCGACCUGAGAAGGGGAUCGGCCACACGGGAACUGAGACACGGUCCAGACUCCUACGGGAGGCAGAAGUAGGGAAUCUUCCGCAAUGGGCGAAAGCCUGACGGAGCAACGCCGCGUGAGUGAUGAAGGUCUUCGGAUCGUAAAACUCUGUUAUUAGGGAAGAACAAAUGUGUAAGUAACUAUGCACGUCUGGACGGUACCUAAUCAGAAAGCCACGGCUAACUACGU
rnacentral:rRNA from 1 species